rnacentral:rRNA from 1 species
UUGGGGAAUAUUGGACAAUGGGCGAAAGCCUGAUCCAGCCAUGCCGCGUGUGUGAAGAAGGUCUUCGGAUUGUAAAGCACUUUAAGUUGGGAGGAAGGGCAGUAAGUUAAUACCUUGCUGUUUUGACGUUACCAACAGAAUAAGCACCGGCUAACUUCGUGCCAGCAGCCGCGGUAAUACGAAGGGUGCAAGCGUUAAUCGUAAUUACUGGGCGUAUAGCGCGCGUAGGUGGCUUUGUAAGUUGGAGGUGAAAUCCCCGGGCUCAACCUGGGAGAUGACUACAAAACUGCAUGACUAGAGUACGGUAGAGGGUAGUGGAAUUUCCUGUGUAGCGGUGAAAUGCGUAGAUAUAGGAAGGAACACCAGUGGCGAAGGCGACUACCUGGACUGAUACUGACACUGAGGUGCGAAAGCGUGGGGAGCAAACAGGAUUAGAAACCCGAGUAGUCC